rnacentral:sRNA from 1 species
AUCUCGAAAGAGUGGACCAGCAAUAAAUAAUCGCAAAAAAAACUCAUAACUUUAAUACACAUUCUUUUUGAUACGUUCUUUGGUGGCCGCCUCGCGACGAGAAGAA